CCGAUACGUAAGUAAGACAGAUACAUCUUUGGAAUUAAACGUCCAAGCUGAAAGAUUCACAAUUGGCAGUGAAAUUGUUCAAGCUGUGCAAACAAAAGGUGCUGUUAUGACAUGCUUCUUGUGUGCUAAAGAACCAACUAACAUGAGAGCAUGUUCAUGCUGUAAAAGGAAUUUCCACAAAAAGUGUAUGACUCCAGGACUAUGCAGUCUGUGCUCAAUUUUUCCACCUGGUGAGUGCAAUAG